rnacentral:rRNA from 1 species
CGCCUGGGGAGUGCGGCCGCAAGGUUAAAACUCAAAUGAAUUGACGGGGGCCCGCACAAGCGGUGGAGCAUGUGGUUUAAUUCGACGCAACGCGAAGAACCUUACCUGGCCUUGACAUGCAGAGAACUUUCCAGAGAUGGAUUGGUGCCUUCGGGAACUCUGACACAGGUGCUGCAUGGCCGUCGUCAGCUCGUGUCGUGAGGUGUUGGGUUAAGUCCCGUAACGAGCGCAACCCCUAUCCCUAGUUGCUAGCAGUUCGGCUGAGAACUCUAGGGAGACUGCCGGUGACAAACCGGAGGAAGGUGGGGAUGACGUCAGGUCAUCAUGGCCCUUACGGCCAGGGCUACACACGUGCUACAAUGGUGCGCACAGAGGGCUGCAAACCCGCGAGGGGGAGCCAAUCUCACAAAACGCAUCGUAGUCCGGAUCGCAGUCUGCAACUCGACUGCGUGAAGUCGGAAUCGCUAGUAAUCGUGAAUCAGAAUGUCACGGUGAAUACGUUCCCGGGCCUUGUACACACCGCCCAUCACACCAUGGGAGUGGAUUGCACCAGAAGUGGUUAGUCUAACCUUCGGGAGGACGAUCACCACGGUGUGGUUCAUGACUGGGGUGAAGUCGUAACAAGGUAACCGUA